AGAGUUUGAUCCUGGCUCAGAAUCAACGCUGGCGGCGCGCUUAACACAUGCAAGUCGAACGAGAAAGCCCGCAAGGGUGAGUAAAGUGGCGUACGGGUGAGUAACACGUGGGUAAUCUACCUCUGGGUGGGGAAUAACUUUGGGAAACCGAAGCUAAUACCGCAUAACACUGAAAGGUCAAAGGCGCAAGUCGCCUGGAGAGGAGCCCGCGGCUGAUUAGCUAGUUGGUGAGGUAAAAGCUUACCAAGGCGAUGAUCGGUAGCCGGCCUGAGAGGGCACACGGCCACACUGGCACUGAAACACGGGCCAGACUCCUACGGGAGGCAGCAGUGGGGAAUCUUGCACAAUGGGGGAAACCCUGAUGCAGCGACGCCGCGUGAGCGAUGAAGCCCUUCGGGGUGUAAAGCUCUUUCGACCGGAACGAUAAUGACGGUACCGGGAGAAGAAGCUGCGGCUAACUACGUGCCAGCCGCCGCGGUAAUUC
rnacentral:rRNA from 1 species